UACGGGGGGGGGCAAGCGUUGUUCGGAAUUACUGGGCGUAAAGGGCUCGUAGGCGGCCAACUAAGUCGGAUGUGAAAUCCCCAAGCUUAACUUGGGAACUGCAUCCGAUACUGGAUGGCUUGAAUCCGGGAGAGGGAUGCAGAAUUCCAGGUGUAGCGGUGAAAUGCGUAGAUAUCUGGAGGAACACCGGUGGCGAAGGCGGCAUCCUGGACCGGUAUUGACGCUGAGACGCGAAAGCGUGGGGAGCGAACAGG
rnacentral:rRNA from 1 species